AGACUCUCAGUGAAGACAGUUCCUCCUGCAGCACAGAGAACCUGCACCAUGUCUCCAGCUGUCAUUGCAUUGCUUCUCCUCUCACUAUCAUAUGGAGCUGAGAGUGUGGAGUUUGAGCCAACUCAUCCAAAAAUAGUCAACGACAAAGCCAGGGUAGAAAUUAAAUGUAGUCACAAUGAUGGCAACCUGGAUGUAAUGCUCUGGUACCAACAAACUGAGAGAGGUCUGAUGAAUUUAAUUGGAUAUGGCUACUCUGGUAUAGAGCCGAACUAUGAGAAGGAGUUUGAAAAUGGAUUUGAGAUAACAAGAGAAGACAUCCUGAGAGGAGCUCUGAUUAUUCCCAGUGUGACUCCAUCAGACUCGGCUGUGUAUUUCUGCGCUGCCAGUACACAGUGAUGUGGUUUAGAGCCACUCCCUCACUAAAACUCUCUCACAUGGUCUCUGCAUACAGACUCUCAGUGAAGACAGUUCCUCCUGCAGCACAGAGAACCUGGACCAUGUCUCCAGCUGUGAUCGCAUUGCUUCUCCUCUCACUAUCAUAUGGAGCUGAGAGUGUGGAGUUUGAGCCAACUCAUCCAAAAAUAUACAACGAGAAAGCCAGGGUAGAAAUUAAAUGCAGUCACAAUGAUGGCAACCUGGAUAUAAUGCUCUGGUAUCAAAAAACUGAGAGAGGUCUGAUGAAUUUAAUUGGAUACAGCUAUACUGGCAGUGAGCCCAACUAUGAGAAGGAGUUUGAAAAUGGAUUUGAGAUAACAAGAGAAGACAUCCUGAGAGGAGCUCUGAUUAUUCCCAGUGUGACUCCAUCAGACUCGGCUGUGUAUUUCUGCGCUGCCAGAGUACACAGUGAUGUGGUUUGGAGCCACUCCCUCACUAAAACUCUCUCACAUGGUCUCUGCAUACAGACUCUCAGUGAAGACAGUUCCUCCUGCAGCACAGAGAACCUGGACCAUGUCUCCAGCUGUCAUCACAUUGCUUCUCAUCUCACUAUCAUAUGGAGCUGAGAGUGUGGAGUUUGACCCGACUCAUCCCAGAAUAGUCAACGACAAAGCCAGGGAAGAAAUUAAAUGCAGUCACAAUGAUAACGGCAUGAAUGUAAUGCUGUGGUACCAACAAACAGAGAGAGGUCUGAUGAAAUUCAUUGGAUACAGCUACGGUAGUGAUCCCAGCUAUGAGAAGGAGUUUGAAAAGCGGUUUGAGAUAACAAGAGAAGACACAAUGAGAGGAGCUCUGAUUAUUAAAAGUCUAAAUCUAUCAGACUCGGCUGUGUAUUUCUGCGCUGCCAGUACACAGUGAUGUGGUUUAAUGCCUCUCCCUCACUAAAACCCUGCUCUCAUUUUUCUCUGGUGUGUUCAUGUUCAAGAUCCUGAGACUGCCUAACAGAUCUCAGCAUGCACAGAGAGAUCAUAAUGUUAAGGACAUUGGGCUGAACAGAUAUAGGCAAAUUCUACAAUGUUGUAGACAUAGCUGAACAUAAAAUAAAAUUAAAAAACAAAUAAGAAGGUAACGUAUGUAAAAUGAUGUGCAUUGCACUACAAUAUAUAGCAAUAAAUAUGAAACUUAAAGUAGCGACAGUAAAAGU